AAUUUGUAUAACUUUUUCUUUGGAGAGGGGUACUGGGGAGUGAACUUGGGGGCCCUCAACCACUGACCCAUAUCCCCAGCCCUAUACUGAGUUGCUGAGCGCCUUUCUGUUGCUAAGGCUGGUUUUGAACUCAAUCCUUCUGUCUCAGCCUCCUGAGCCACUGGGAUUACUGGCAUGUGUCACUGCGCCCGGCUUGUAUGACAUUUUGUGAAAGCAGUUUUGUAAUAUGUAUCAAGUACCUGGAGUUCACAUUUAAGGGGGUGUCAGUAAGUAUUUAAAUGAUAGUUACAAUGUCCUUGUGAUAUAAACAUGUUUGCUAGACCAGUGCUGUACCACUGAGUGGAUCCC
rnacentral:lncRNA from 1 species